rnacentral:rRNA from 1 species
GCUUACACAUGCAAGUCGAGCGAUGAAGCACCUUCGGGUGUGAAUUAGCGGCGAACGGGUGAGGAACACGUGAAGAAUCUGCCUUCAACUCUGGGAUAACUCCGGGAAACCGGGGCUAAUACCGGAUAUGAGCCCUGAUCGCAUGAUCGGGGCUGGAAAGUUUUUCGGUUGAAGAUGACUUCGCGGCCUAUCAGCUUGUUGGUGAGGUAAUGGCUCACCAAGGCGACGACGGGUAGCCGGCCUGAGAGGGCGACCGGCCACACUGGGACUGAGACACGGCCCAGACUCCUACGGGAGGCAGCAGUGGGGAAUAUUGGGCAAUGGAGGAAACUCUGACCCAGCGACGCCGCGUGAGGGAUGAAGGCCUUCGGGUUGUAAACCUCUUUCAGUAGGGAAGAAGCGAAAGUGACGGUACCUACAGAAGAAGCACCGGCUAACUAUGUGCCAGCAGCCGCGGUAAUACAUAGGGUGCAAGCGUUGUCCGGAAUUAUUGGGCGUAAAGAGCUCGUAGGUGGUUCGAUACGUCGGAUGUGAAAAUCAGGGGCUCAACCCCUGACCUGCAUCCGAUACGGUCGAGCUAGAGUUUGGUAGGGGAGACUGGAAUUCCUGGUGUAGCGGUGGAAUGCGCAGAUAUCAGGAGGAACACCGAUGGCGAAGGCAGGUCUCUGGGCCAAUACUGACACUGAGGAGCGAAAGCGUGGGGAGCGAACAGGAUUAGAUACCCUGGUAGUCCACGCCGUAAACGGUGGGCGCUAGUUGUGCGAACCUUCCACGGUUUGUGCGACGCAGCUAACGCAUUAAGCGCCCCCGCCUGGGGGAGUACGAUCGCAAGAUUAAAACUCAAAUGAAUUGACGGAAGGGCGAAUUC